rnacentral:hammerhead_ribozyme from 1 species
AUCCAGAUGAAGAGUCCCAAGUAGGACGAAACGCGCGUCCUGGAU